rnacentral:rRNA from 1 species
UCGGGUGACAGGGAGACAGGUGGUGCAUGGUUGUCGUCAGCUCGUGUCGUGAGAUGUUGGGUUAAGUCCCGCAACGAGCGCAACCCCUACGUUUAGUUGCUAACGCGUGAAGGCGAGCACUCUAGACGAACUGCCGUUGACAAAACGGAGGAAGGUGGGGAUGACGUCAAAUCAUCAUGCCCCUUAUGACCUGGGCUACACACGUGCUACAAUGGGCGGUACAAAGGGUCGCGAACCCGCGAGGGGGGAGCCAAUCCCAAAAAGCCGCUCUCAGUUCGGAUUGCAGGCUGCAACUCGCCUGCAUGAAGCCGGAAUCGCUAGUAAUCGCGGAUCAGCAUGCCGCGGUCGAAUACGUUCCCGGGCCUU